UACGUAGGGGGCAAGCGUUAUCCGGAAUUACUGGGUGUAAAGGGUGCGUAGGUGGUAUGGCAAGUCAGAAGUGAAAACCCAGGGCUUAACUCUGGGGCUGCUUUUGAAACUGUCAGACUGGAGUGCAGGAGAGGUAAGCGGAAUUCCUAGUGUAGCGGUGAAAUGCGUAGAUAUUAGGAGGAACAUCAGUGGCGAAGGCGGCUUACUGGACUGAAACUGACACUGAGGCACGAAAGCGUGGGGAGCAAACAGG
rnacentral:rRNA from 1 species